rnacentral:rRNA from 1 species
AGAGUUUGAUCCUGGCUCAGGACGAACGCUGGCGGCGUGCUUAACACAUGCAAGUCGAACGAGAUCCACGGUGUAGCAAUACACCUGAAGAUCUAGUGGCGAACGGGUGCGUAACACGUGAGGAACUUGUCCCGGUCUCUGGGAUAACAGUUGGAAACGACUGCUAAUACCGGAUGACGUCGGAGCAUCGCAUGGUGCGCUGACGAAAGGGUUACUGGAUCGGGAGAGCCUCGCGGCCUAUCAGCUUGUUGGUGGGGUAACGGCCCACCAAGGCAUCGACGGGUAGCUGGUCUGAGAGGAUGAUCAGCCACACUGGGACUGAGACACGGCCCAGACUCCUACGGGAGGCAGCAGUGGGGAAUCUUGCGCAAUGGGCGAAAGCCUGACGCAGCAACGCCGCGUGCGGGAUGAAGGCUCUCGGGUUGUAAACCGCUUUCAGCAGGAACGAAAAUGACGGUACUGCAGAAGAAGG